ACUCCUACGGGAGGCAGCAGUGGGGAAUAUUGGACAAUGGGCGCAAGCCUGAUCCAGCCAUGCCGCGUGAGUGAUGAAGGCCCUAGGGUUGUAAAGCUCUUUCAGCGAGGAGGAUAAUGACGUUACUCGCAGAAGAACGCCCCGGCUAACUUCGUGCCAGCAGCCGCGGUAAUACGAAGGGGCUAGCGUUGUUCGGAAUCACUGGGCGUAAAGCGCACGUAGGCGGACUUUUAAGUCAGGGGUGAAAUCCCGGGGCUCAACCCCGGAACUGCCUUUGAUACUGGAAGUCUUGAGUCCGAGAGAGGUGAGUGGGAACUCCGAGUGUAGAGGUGAAAUUCGUAGAUAUUCGGAAGAACACCAGUGGCGAAGGCGGCUCACUGGCUCGGUACUGCGCUGAGGUGCGAAAGCGUGGGAGCAAACAGGAUUAGAUACCCUGGUAGGACAGUG
rnacentral:rRNA from 1 species